GGAUAAUGUAUCUAUGGUAUCUGGAUAUUGUGGAUAAUGUAUCUAUGGUAUCUAGAUAAAAUGGAUAAUGUAUCUAUGGCAUGGAAUAAUGUUUCUAUGGCGUGGAUAAUGUAUCUAUGUUAUAUGGAUAAGGUUUAUAAUGUAUCUGUGGCACCUAGAUAACGUAAAUAAUGUAUCUAUGGCGUGGAUAAAGUAUCUACGGUAUCUAGAUAACGUAUAUAAUGUAUCUAUGGUAUCUAGAUAAAGUGGAUAAUGUAUCUAUGGCGUAUAAUGUAUCUAUGGUAUCCAGAUAACGUGGAUAAUGUAUCUAUGGCAUCUAGAUACCGUGGAUAAUGUAUCUAUGAAAUCCAGAUAUCGUGGAUAAUGUAUAUAUGGCCUACAGAUACCGUGGAUAAUGUAUAUAUGGCUCGGAUAACGUAUCGAUAGUAUUUAGGUAACGUGGAUAACGUAUCUAUGGCUCGGAUAAUGCAUUUAUGGCAUCCAGAUACCGUGGAUAAAGUGUCUAUGCCGCGGAUAACGUAUAUACGGUGUCCAGAAAUCCUGAAUAAAGUAUCUAUGGCAUCAAGAUAACGUUGAUAAUGUAUCUAUGGCAUUCAGAUACCGUGGAUAACGUAUCUAUGGCUCGGAUAAUGUAUCUACGGUAUCCAGAAAUCCUGAAUAAUGUAUCUAAGGUUUCAAGAUAACGUGGAUAAAGUAUCUGCUUGAUCCACAUAACCAGGAUAAUUUAUCUACUUCAUCCACAUAACCUGAAUAAUGUUCCUCCUAACUCCAAAUAUAUCUAUACUAUUUAAAUACCCCUCUUCCACUGUGCAAGGACUCUUCACUUGUGAAUUUUCACAAAAAUAACAUGUUUGUGAGAGUAUGUGUGUGUGCGAGUAUAUGUGCCUGUGUGCCACUUUAAGUUGAGGUAGCUCAUUACAAGGGCAAUACUUUCAAUUUCAUUUACACUCUAUUUAAUUCCUGUCGGCGAACAAUACCAAAGAUAAAUGGCGUGUGUGUGAGAGAGAGAAGGAGAUAAAACUAAGCUGCCUACAGGAUUCCGCUACCCCACAAUUGGAGAUUGUGGGCUUAUGGAAUGUGUGAUAAUUAAAGACAAUUUGACGAAAAAAAAAUAGGCAGCAAGAAAACGUAACACCAUAAAAGAAGUAAGGCUGGCUGGCUGACAACCUAAACUUGAACUCAGGCGUAAAGCGGGAAAUGCUUUUCGAGCAACAUUAUCUGAAUGGAUGAAAGGCAAAUGUUGGAAAAAAAUAUAUUAAAAUCGGAAAAAAAACACCACAAGAAACGUGACACAUUCCAAGUGACAAAGCCAGGUUUCUGUUGCGUGUUAGAUAGCAACAAAAAAACAUAAAAUUGUUGUUGUUGGCCUGGUGGAAGUGAAAGAAAAGCAUGCCGAUCCAAUUAUUAUGAAUAUUAUGACAAAAAAUGAAAAGAGCAGGCAAGAGGUGGAAACCGUUUUGCGAUCCAGUCAUUGAUUAAACAACAAAAAACCUAGGCAGCUACUUGUCAAGCCCAGCUGGAGUUAAAUGGUGGAGAAAAAACUCCAAACACACUCGCAUAGAAGUCAACCAAGCGUCUAAAAGAUUUCCAAAAGCCUAGAGUGGGCCAUUUGAAGGGCCAGCAAAAACAUAAACGACAAGGGAACAAAAAUAUCAGUUGCGUGAAAUUAAAUCACUCUCAAAAAGAAAGUCACAAAGAGAGGCAAAAGAAAGAAGAGAAAUGAGAGAAUGAAAAAUGAUAGCCUAGGUCAAAAAGAAAAUAAAUGGAUUACAAAAUACUAUGGCAGAGCCAAACAGGUUACACCAACUCUCCUCUCCCACUUCCCUCUCACUCUCUCUCCCUCUCUCUGCCAGCAUUUCUCUGGCUGCAAGAGAUUCUGUAUCAAAUCAACUUUCAACAGGCUAACCUUUCUUAACAUUGGCCAUUAACGCCAUCGUCAAACGGCAUCCGACAGUCAGUCAAUGUUAAAUGCAACAUUUACAAGAAAAUCCAUGAAUGAAAUGAAAUUAUAACAACAACAACACCAGGAAGCCUUUUUUCACAACAAUAACAACAAAAACAAUGACAACAAGUUGAAAUGAGACUGGUUUCGUUAUGGAGUUGUGAUGAGUAUUGUGGCUGCUUGGAUGGUUGAUUGUUUGGUUGGUUGGUUGCUUGUUGGCCGCCGCUUGUUUGGCCCACGUUGUAGUAUUGAAAUGAAAACGAAAGACUUAAGACACAAACUUUAAAUUCGGCCAUGUAAAAAAAACGUAUUUUUUCGUUAAUGUUUUUUUUUUA